rnacentral:sRNA from 1 species
UGGUUUAUUAUGUUGAUUUUUUGUUGUGUAUGUCUAAACUUCCAAUUCAUCUGUGUCUUCUAAAGUGCAUCAACAUUGAUCAGUUAGUGUGUGAGGGCAGAGGCCUUCAUCAUAGUAAUUUAGUGAUCAAUAGUGUUUCUUAAUAGGAUGGGGCAUUUUAGAACUUUCUUUUUAAAAUGUUAACUGUGGUUUUAAUGAUUAGAUUUCUUCUAUGUGGCUCAUGGUAACUGACCAUGUGUUCAUAUUUUCUUCUAAACUUUUUAGGCGUACAAAUCCAUUUGGAGAAUCUGGAGGAAGUACAAAAUCUGAAACUGAAGAUUCUAUUCUUCAUCAGUUAUUUAUUGUCCGAUUCCUUGGUUCAAUGGAGGUGAAAUCAGAUGACCAUCCAGAUGUUGUUUAUGAAACUAUGCGCCAAAUCUUAGCUGCCCGGGCCAUCCAUAACAUCUUUCGUAUGACAGAAUCGCAUUUAUUAGUCACUUGUGACUGUUUAAAGUUAAUUGAUCCACAGACACAAGUUACAAGGCUCACGUUUCCAUUACCUUGUGUAGUUUUGUAUGCUACACACCAGGAAAAUAAGCGCCUUUUUGGAUUUGUUCUUCGGACAUCAAGCGGGAGAAGUGAAAGUAAUCUGUCAUCAGUCUGCUAUAUAUUUGAGUCAAACAAUGAGGGGGAAAAGAUAUGUGAUUCUGUUGGACUGGCAAAACAGAUAGCUUUGCAUGCUGAACUG